ACUCAGUGCUGCAGGAUGGGGAAUUGACCAUGGAUCUUCAUAUGAAGAGCAUCAGUGGAGCCCCCACCUUCAAUGUCAUUGUCGCCAUGACUGCCAAGACGCUAGGCCUGCUGAUGGGCAAAGAAGGUGUCCAUGGCAGUUUCAUCAACAAACAAUGUUAUGAAAUGGCCUCCCACCUUCAGCGUUCCCAGUACCGACCUCCUUUGAUCCUUCCCCUGCACUGCUUCCCACAGCUUUGCCCCCCUUUCCUUCUCAUACACACACCAUUUUAAUUUCGGGAGCCAUUAUUCCAUACACUUUAUUGUUGCCAAAACCACAUGGGCUGGGGGCCAGGGAUAGAUGGAAAGACACCUUCUCCUACCCAUACCCCUCUUGUGUGUGGUUGGAAAACUUUUUUGUUUUGAGGGAUUUUUUAUAAAUAAAAAAUAUUC